UCUACACUUACCAGGGGAUUGACUAGCAGAGAACGAUGCAUCGGCAGUCGAUUUAGCAGGUCUAAGACCCGCUAAAAUUGACCACAGUUCGCUCUCCCGUUGACUCCUGUACUCCACCGGAUUGAGAAGAGACGGGGGAGUCGACGGGAGAGCAUCACAUAGCGUGCACCCCAUGCACCAUGCACUUCCCAGUAUAGAGUGGGCCCAUGUAAGAAAAAACUUCAUCAAGAGCUAGUCCUUGAUCCAGCCAAUGAGGUGGCCGAGCAGAUCUCUGCAUGGAACCACAUUAAUUUCCACGAGGCUCCAGGAAAUGUGCAAGGAGCUGCCCACAUGGAGCUCGUUGUAGCAUCGGGACCUUAUAAACAUGUUUAAUUUUAAUGGGACUACACAUGCUGAAAGGUUAUAAAUGAAUACUGAAAUUGUUGUAUAGCUGAUACUUCCAGGAAACUGUGGCCUGGCACCUUUUUUAUGAUCUGAAGGAAAGCUGCAAAGUGAGGGUACUGCUACAUCAAUCAAAUAUAAAACUAUAGCUGUGACUGCUUCAUGUGCUGGAUGCAGCCCCCUUGCCUUUGAGCACAACUAAUGGUUACGAAGUGGGCACUACUGCAAUCCAUUCAUUACAUCUGCUGGAGGUGGAAGACUUCAAGAAUGUUGCAAAGGAAGAGGAGUCACUUUGGACUGGACCUUCCCAUGUAUAUGCUUCCCCAAAUGUAUAACCACAGAUGGCCUCAGCCCCCAUCCCAGCCCUUGGUGCUACAUAGGAAGGCUGUGUGUCAGAAGGAAGAUGUCUAGUUCAGCCCAACAAUCUUGUAACUUCAAUUACUGCAACAGGACAGACUAAAUAUUUGGAUAUCUAUCUUUUAUAUAUUAAAAAUCUUAUCAAAAGGGAAACAACAAGAAUCUGGCUCCCACCACAUAUUCUCAAGCUACUGCUCCACAGAUAUCAGAAACAGCAUUAUUUUAGUAUUAGUAGCUCCUUCACUAUGUUACACUAGUAACACACAGGUUUCAGAGUAGCGGCCAUGUUAGUCUGUAUUCGCAAAAAGAAAAGGAGUGCUUGUGGCACCUUAGAGACUAACCAAUUUAUUUGAGCAUAAGCUUUCGUGAGCUACAGCUCACUUCAUCGGAUGAAUAACACACAUUCAUCUCUGUUCACACCAUCGACUGUAUGUGGAUGUAAGCUAAUUACUAAACCAUUCAAUAAGCACAGUUUGUUGGCUUUAGUCAAGACUAGGACAGGAACAUCGCAAGUCAAUUUCCAGGUUUAUUGGUAAACCUGUAUGGUAGUACUUUUUUUUUUUUUAAGUCACUAACAAUAAUAAAAAAUGAAGUGUUUUGCUAUGGAGCUGCAAUAGUUACUUGAGAUAGUGGUUUAGCAUUCUAUGGAUUGGUUGUUGUUUUUUGAUUGUUUUUAACUGGUGACUAUAUUUAAUCUAUAAAGGUGACCUACAAAGGCUUGUGCAACCUUUUUUGUUCUUUAAAUAAGUCCUAAAAGGAAUUCUCUCACCCUUCAUCUCCCAAAAAGUUUGAUUCUGCUUCCCUUUUUUUCUUAGAAAAAACAGGAAUGUCAUGUCUUGAAUUUUCUUUUUUUGUUGGAUGAUUUAUUGGAGGAUUCAAAAACACAUAGUGGGAGAUUUUUCAGCGUGCAAGCGAAGGGCAGCAGUGUUGAAUCUUUAGCAAAUACAAUUUCUUCCAAGUUUAGUUAAGUGUUGACAAAAACUAAGAAUUUUAGCUAUCUUAGUAAAAAUAUCAUACCCUCUCCAUUAAGCUGGUUUAACCCUCUUGGUUUGGUACUAGUGAAUUGUAAUCAUACUAAACCAUCUGUAAAGUAAUUUUUUAAAAUGUCACUGCAUGGUUUCUCAAGCCGUGCCAUGUGGGUAGGUUGCACAGUAGUUAGCCCUUUUCAUGAACAUUACAUUCAAAUGCAAAUUUGAUUAAAAAGGUUUAAAAGCUUUGUUUUAUCAUUCAAUUACAGCAUGUAAACAUUGAACACAGAGCUCUAGUACAAUGGUAAAGGUUAAAAGAAAAUGUUCAGACCUUCUGUUGCUCAUACAUUAUCAGCCAAAGCAACUGCCUGAUCUUAUUGCUGUUACCCAUCAUCCUCUCUUCUACUCCCCCACCUUUACCUCCAUUUGCAAUCAUCACUCAUCAAAUUACAUCCUAAAUAUGGGCUCAAUUCUGGAAGGCCUUUGAUAAAUAUUCCUUAUUCAUAGAUGUAAAGUCAAGCAUUUAAAUUAGGGUUUACAGGAUAGAGCCUUUAGCUUUUAAACUUUUUGGGUCUUUUAUUAGUUUGUUAUGUACCACACCAUAUUUAUGAUGCAACUUAAAUAAAAUCAACGAUCAAAUAAUUUACAGAAAAUAGUUUGCUUGCCAAAUAUAGCCUCCUUUUGUCCUUGCUGAAUGUCCAUGAGCAGACUGUGAUUCCCUCAGAUUUCCUCAACUGGUUUUUGUGGUUUCUUUUACUCUUUAUGAAUUAAUUAUGAAUAGUUAGAUUGGGGUAUUUAUUACUCAAUGGUGGAAAGCUGAGCUGUUUUGGUUAGUUGUGAGUGGGCGCAUAAUACACAUGGUAUUGUUUCUUUUCACUGACUGGGACCCUACU